UAUCUCUCUUCAUAACAUCAAAUAAAUUUCAGUGAUGUCUUCAUCUUCUUCUGAGCAUGAUGCUGAAGACACAGCCGCAACUGCAGCUAAAGCUGUAGCUGAAGCUGAAGCCUUUAUGAAAGAGUACAUGCGCCAAUACAUGGAGGAUGACAAUAUCCAUCAAGGUGUGCUUCGUGCAAUAGUGUCAAACACACGUCACACGAGAAGAUAUGUGCAAU
rnacentral:lncRNA from 1 species